rnacentral:rRNA from 1 species
GACGAACGCUGGCGGCGUGCCUAACACAUGCAAGUCGAGCGAAGUUAUUCCUUCGGGAAUAACUUAGCGGCGGACGGGUGAGUAACACGUGGGUAACCUGCCUUAUAGAGGGGGAUAGCCUUCCGAAAGAAGAUUAAUACCGCAUAACAUUGAGCUUUCGCAUGGAAGCUUAAUCAAAGGAGUAAUCCGCUAUAAGAUGGACCCGCGGCGCAUUAGCUAGUUGGUGAGGUAACGGCUCACCAAGGCGACGAUGCGUAGCCGACCUGAGAGGGUGAUCGGCUACAUUGGGACUGAGACACGGCCCAGACUCCUACGGGAGGCAGCAGUGGGGAAUAUUGCACAAUGGGGGAAACCCUGAUGCAGCAACGCCGCGUGAGUGAUGAAGGCCUUCGGGUUGUAAAGCUCUGUCUUUGGGGACGAUAAUGACGGUACCCAAGGAGGAAGCCACGGCUAACUACGUGCCAGCCGCCGCAGUAACAC